rnacentral:lncRNA from 1 species
UUAAUAAUGUUGGUAACUUAUUACAAAUAACAAAUUUGAUUCUAUUUUAAUGUGUUUCACAGAUAAUGAAAAUUAGUGAAAAGCACCACAUGAGAAUCAGGGCAAAAUAACUAGAUUCUGCAAUGAUUAUAUAUGAAUAUAUGCCUCUUGGAUGUGUACAGAGCCUGGGUGGAGACAACUGAACCAGGCUAAUGCUGAUCCAAUAACAGGAAUCCAAUGAAGAUGGAGUCUUGCUAUGUCACACUCAGGCUGGAGUCCAGUGGCAUAGUGGCACAAUCUUGGCUCAUUGAAACCUUCAUCUCCUGGAUUCAAAUAAUUCUCUUGCAUCAGCCUCCU